rnacentral:misc_RNA from 1 species
GUAGGUGAACCUGCGGAAGGAUCAUUACCUUUCUGGCUAUUUAAUAGCUUGUCUGGAGGCUGUAGUCUCUACAGCCUCUGACUAAAUCCGUGAUUUUUGCGUACUACAUGUUUCCUUGGCAGGCUUGCUUGCCAGUUGGACAACCUAAAACUCUUUGCAAUUGCAUUCAGCGUCUGAAAUAUAUAAUAAUUACAACUUUCAACAACGGAUCUCUUGGUUCUG